rnacentral:rRNA from 1 species
ACGCUGAAGACUUUAGCUUGCUAAAGUUGGAAGAGUUGCGAACGGGUGAGUAACGCGUAGGUAACCUGCCUACUAGCGGGGGAUAACUAUUGGAAACGAUAGCUAAUACCGCAUAACAGCAUUUAACACAUGUUAGAUGCUUGAAAGGAGCAAUUGCUUCACUAGUAGAUGGACCUGCGUUGUAUUAGCUAGUUGGUGAGGUAACGGCUCACCAAGGCGACGAUACAUAGCCGACCUGAGAGGGUGAUCGGCCACACUGGGACUGAGACACGGCCCAGACUCCUACGGGAGGCAGCAGUAGGGAAUCUUCGGCAAUGGGGGCAACCCUGACCGAGCAACGCCGCGUGAGUGAAGAAGGUUUUCGGAUCGUAAAGCUCUGUUGUAAGAGAAGAACGUGUGUGAGAGUGGAAAGUUCACACAGUGACGGUAACUUACCAGAAAGGGACGGCUAACUACGUGCCAGCAGCCGCGGUAAUACGUAGGUCCCGAGCGUUGUCCGGAUUUAUUGGGCGUAAAGCGAGCGCAGGCGGUUUAAUAAGUCUGAAGUUAAAGGCAGUGGCUUAACCAUUGUUCGCUUUGGAAACUGUUAGACUUGAGUGCAGAAGGGGAGAGUGGAAUUCCAUGUGUAGCGGUGAAAUGCGUAGAUAUAUGGAGGAACACCGGUGGCGAAAGCGGCUCUCUGGUCUGUAACUGACGCUGAGGCUCGAAAGCGUGGGGAGCAAACAGGAUUAGAUACCCUGGUAGUCCACGCCGUAAACGAUGAGUGCUAGGUGUUAGGCCCUUUCCGGGGCUUAGUGCCGCAGCUAACGCAUUAAGCACUCCGCCUGGGGAGUACGACCGCAAGGUUGAAACUCAAA